CCUACGGGAGGCAGCAGUAGGGAAUAUUGGGCAAUGGGCGGAAGCCUGACCCAGCCAUGCCGCGUGAAGGAAGACGGCCUUAUGGGUUGUAAACUUCUUUACUAUGCGACUAACUAGAUUUACGAGAUAAUUCUAUAGAAUGUAGCAUAGCAAAAAGCACCGGCUAACUCCGUGCCAGCAGCCGCGGUAAUACGGAGGGUGCGAGCGUUAUUCGGAAUUACUGGGUUUAAAGGGUGCGUAGGCGGCUAAGUAAGUUGUCAUUGAAAGGCUACAGCUCAACUGUAGUAGUGGUGGCGAUACUGCUUAGCUAAGAACAUGGGAGGGGUACUUGGAAUGUGUGGUGUAGCGGUGAAAUGCGUAGAUAUCACACAGAACACCAGAGGCGAAGGCGGAGUACUAGACCAUAGUUGACGCUGAGGCACGAAAGCGUGGGGAUCAAACAGGAUUAGAUACCCUGGUAGUCCACGCCCUAAACGAUGAUCACUAGAUAUUGGCGACAAACAGUCAGUGUCCAAGCGAAAGUGAUAAGUGAUCCACCUGGGGACUACGGCCGCAAGGUUAAAACUCAAAUGAAUUGACGG
rnacentral:rRNA from 1 species